rnacentral:rRNA from 1 species
AUGUCGAAGAAGUUUGAGAUGUCUAUGAUGAGUGAACUCAAAUUCUUUCUUGGUUUGCAAAUCAAGCAAACUAAGGAAGGCACCUUUGUCUCUCAAAACACCAAGGACUUAUUCAAGAAGUUCAAUAUGCAAGAAUGCAAAGGUAUGACUACACCCAUGCCUACUAGUGGACAUCUUGAUUUGACCAAAGGUGGUGAACCGGUUGAUCAAAAAGUUUACCGCUCUAUGAUUGGUUCAUUAUUAUAUCUAUGUGCUUCACGUCCCGAUAUCAUGUUAAGUGUAUGCAUGUGUGCACGAUAUCAAGCUGCUCCUAAGGAAUGUCAUCUUAAGGCCGUGAAGAGGAUAGUGAGAUACUUAAUACAU